rnacentral:lncRNA from 1 species
ACAUACUAUACUGGCAGACUAUAUACUAUACUGGCAGACUACAGGCUACAUACUAUAUUGGCAGACUAUAUACUAUACUGGCAGACUACAGGCUACAUAGUAUAUUGGCAGACUACAGACGACAUACUGUACUGGCAGACUACAUACUAUACUGGCGGACUACAUACUAUACAGUAUAUUGGCAGACUACAGACGACAUACUAUACUGGCAGACUACAUACUAUAUUGGCAGACUACAGACGACAUACAAUACUGGCAGACUACAGACGACAUACUAUACUGGCAGACUACAGACGACGUACUAUACUGGCAGACUACAG